GUCUACAGCCAUGCUACCCUGAACAAGCCCAGUCCCGUCUGAUCUUAGAAGCUAAGCAGGGUCGGGCCUGGUAAGUACUUGGAUGGGAGACCACCUAGGAAAGUGCUGUAGGAG
rnacentral:rRNA from 1 species